CUCUGGCAGUUGAAGUCCACAAGCCUUAGAGGGACCAAGGUUGGAGACCCCUGGUCUGAAAAGCAGGUUCUGCCUGCAUCAUUUUCCUGUCUCUUUCUCGCGAGUCAAAUGGGAUUUCAAAAACUAGCAUUUACUUCCACUUUGGUGUCUCUUAGGAUCUACCCAACUCUCGAGAAGAGGCAUGACCGUUCACACUGUGGAAUUGUAGAAAACUCCUGUCUCCCUACAUCAUGGAUGUGAAACUCACCGUGUCAUGUUGACAUCACGUGACAUAUUGCGAUGUUUUUCCCCUUUGUGGAGCUGGGGUGGGCGUGGCCUGUGCGUGUUACAUCCGGCCUGCGGGCCGCCAGUUUGAUACCCCUGCCCUACAUGAUCACUGUGGACAUUUACACUUUAGUUAAC